rnacentral:lncRNA from 1 species
AAGGAAGAAAGAGGGAGGUAACGCUGAGGAAGGGUGGAAAGCAGUUCUGCGUCCGUGGGUGGAGCCCGCCCCUUGGCUGACCGCAUGGUGCCCGCACGGUCCCUUCCCUUCCCCCAGCGUCCAGCGCCCGGAGGUUCUGGAUUUGCGCCAUGCUCAGCAGCUGGAGUCACAUCUUCGUUUCCCUGCCCAUUUCCAACAUCUUAGAGUUGAUGCGUCCUUUUUUACUUAAAACAACUACAACCAACCAUGUUCUCAGGUACCAGAACUUUUCUGGGCUUCUAGAGAAAUCGACUCGCCCUGCCCGCUCCCUUCCUAAACCCCUUUGUGGUCCACAGGGUUGUUUUAAGCAAAAUCAAACAACCCCUCCAAAAAAAGCAAACGAAAAAUUCCGGGUAAAAUCAACUAUGCUGAGACCACGUUUUCGUUGAAGCUGCCCUAAGACCAAUGAAGCUGAGACCGACCUUCAAGGAUUAACGAUUUCUGUAGCUGAAAUGUUCUAAUUUCACUGACGUUUGGUGGAGACGGUGAGAAAAAAUAAAUAUGAAUUUGACUUGGAAAAGCACAAAACAAACGAAAUAAUAAUAUUUAAUUUGAUUAACUGAGAAGGCAAACAGCCACAGUGGUGUAUUCUAGGUACUGGUGUCUUUGGUGAGUUUGUAAUUAUAUAAAUAAAUUGCUGUUGGUUUCAUCAAAAAUACAGAUCAGAACUCUGGCCGUGACAAAAAA